rnacentral:ncRNA from 1 species
GUCUCUUUUUGCCAAACCUGCCGCAAGGCAGGGACGGAAAGCUCCGGGUCCCCCAUGAGGGGGACGGCCGAGCCGCCGGC